GAUGAACGCUGGAUGUGUGCCUAAUACAUGCAUGUCGUGCGAAGUACUUGUACUUAGCGGCGAAUGGGUGAGUAACACGUACCUAAUCUGCCCUCUAGACUGGGAUAACUGUUAGAAAUGACAGCUAAUACCGGAUAUUCUUAUUCACAUAUGUGAAUGUAGUGAAAGAAGCUUCGGCUUCACUAGAGGAUGAGGGUGCGGCAUAUUAGCUAGUUGGUAGUGUAAUGGACUACCAAGGCGAUGAUAUGUAGCGGGGUCGAGAGGCUGAACCGCCACACUGGGACUGAGAUACGGCCCAG
rnacentral:rRNA from 1 species